UACGUAGGGUGCAAGCGUUGUCCGGAAUUAUUGGGCGUAAAGAGCUCGUAGGCGGUUCGUCGCGUCGGCUGUGAAAUCCCGAGGCUCAACCUCGGGUCUGCAGUCGAUACGGGCGGACUGGAGUUCGGCAGGGGAGACUGGAAUUCCUGGUGUAGCGGUGAAAUGCGCAGAUAUCGGGAGGAACACCAAUGGCGAAGGCAGCUUGCUGGGAUGGUACUGACGCUGAGGCGCGAAAGCGUGGGGAGCAAACAGG
rnacentral:rRNA from 1 species